GAUGAACGCUGGCGGCGUGCCUAAUACAUGCAAGUCGAGCGAACGGACGAGAAGCUUGCUUCUCUGAUGUUAGCGGCGGACGGGUGAGUAACACGUGGAUAACCUACCUAUAAGACUGGGAUAACUUCGGGAAACCGGAGCUAAUACCGGAUAAUAUUUUGAACCGCAUGGUUCAAAAGUGAAAGACGGUCUUGCUGUCACUUAUAGAUGGAUCCGCGCUGCAUUAGCUAGUUGGUAAGGUAACGGCUUACCAAGGCAACGAUGCAUAGCCGACCUGAGAGGGUUAUCGGCCACACUGGAACUGAGACACGUUCCAGACUCCUACGGGAGGCAGCAGUAGGGAAUCUUCCGCAAUGCGCGAAAGCCUGACGGAGCAACGCCGCGUGGGUGAUGAAGGUCUUCGGAUCGUAAAACUCUGUUAUUAGGGAAGAACAUAUGUGUAAGUAACUGUGCACAUCUUGACGGUACCUAAUCAGAAAGCCACGGCUAACUACGUG
rnacentral:rRNA from 1 species